GUGGUUACAGGAUGUUGGAGAGCAACUAUAUAAUCUCUAGUUUUGACAUCUUCACCUGUCCAAAUGGAGGCAAAGAAAGAAUUUUUUUAAUUGGCAUGGAAUACCAAGAGGAAGGAAGGUCAUACUUUUGAAAAUACUGAUGUGAAAGCCUGAAGAGUGAAGGCACUGAAUGGGAUACCUAACACUUGUUCAGCCCAGAGAAAUUACCCAUUUAAGGAGUUACUUUUUCGACUUGACAAAAGGACCAGAAGUGUUCACUAGGACAGAUUUGGAGCUUUUUGGCUAUACAAGGCAGGCUACACAACAAAAGAAAAAGAAAGGAAACGUAGAAAGAAAGAAAUACCAGAGAGAAGCUUGUCAUAUGAGGGACAGCCCGCCAAAAGGAUGCGGUCGUGGUCUUCACACAUGGCUAUCAAGUGCUGCUCUGCACUCCUCGUGCAGCACACGUGGUAAUGGGCCAG